UACGGGGGGGGGCAAGCGUUGUUCGGAAUUACUGGGCGUAAAGGGCUUGUAGGCGGCCAACUAAGUCAGACGUGAAAUCCCUCGGCUUAACCGGGGAACUGCGUCUGAUACUGGAUGGCUUGAGUUCGGGAGAGGGAUGCGGAAUUCCAGGUGUAGCGGUGAAAUGCGUAGAUAUCUGGAGGAACACCGGUGGCGAAGGCGGCAUCCUGGACCGUACACUG
rnacentral:rRNA from 1 species